UUUUUUGUCUUCUCUAUGAUGCUUUCAUCUUCUCCUGAAUCAUCUUGACCUUCUCAAUAGUUUACUGAAUAAUCUCUGGCCUAAGCACAACACUUUCACCAGAUUCAUACCAACACAAAGGUGUCAUGCAUCUCUUAUCAUACAAAGCCUCAAAAGGACACAAGCUCUCAAAAAAUUCUCCAAAGACUGAAUAAUCCUCUCAGUCUGACUGCCCGUUUGUGGAUGGUUGGCAGAACUUAACCUCAACUCAGUUCCCAAGGCUGCCUGCAAGCUCUCCCAAAACCUCGACGUGAACCUCAGAUCUCUAUCAGAAACAGUACUCGACGGAAUAUCAUGCAACUUCAUAAUCACACUGACGUAGAUGUUGUUAGCUGGAAGUUUCGACGUCAGGCCGAAGUCAAUGAGCGAAAGGAGAGAAAAUAUCUUUGAAGACACUCUGGACUUCGACAUAAAAACAUUGUUUGAGAAAUCCAAUCGAAGUGAUCCUUGUGUAAGAGGUAAUUGUUGUGUGAGACUUAUAAAUAUUUCUAAGUUUAGAAUGGUAAUUCCACUGAGACAACAUUAAGGUUGCGUUGACACAAAUGUUUUUUAGUUUAUUUUUGUUUAAAUUAAUGAUAUUUUUAUAUAAAAGAAUUAUAAGUGGUAAA